AGUGAACGCUGGCGGUAGGCCUAACACAUGCAAGUCGAACGGCAGCACAGGAGAGCUUGCUCUCUGGGUGGCGAGUGGCGGACGGGUGAGGAAUACAUCGGAAUCUACUCUGUCGUGGGGGAUAACGUAGGGAAACUUACGCUAAUACCGCAUACGACCUACGGGUGAAAGCAGGGGACCUUCGGGCCUUGCGCGAUUGAAUGAGCCGAUGUCGGAUUAACUAGUUGGCGGGGGAAAGGCCCACCAAGGCGACGAUCCGUAGCUGGUCUGAGAGGAUGAUCAGCCACACUGGAACUGAGACAAGGUCCAGACUCCUACGGGAGGCAGCAGUGGGGAAUAUUGGACAAUGGGCGCAAGCCUGAUCCAGCCAUACCGCGUGGGUGAAGAAGGCCUUCGGGUUGUAAAGCCCUUUUGUUGGGAAAGAAAUCCAGCUGGCUAAUACCCGGUUGGGAUGACGGUACCCAAAGAAUAAGCACCGGCUAACUUCGUGCCAGCCGCCGCAGUAA
rnacentral:rRNA from 1 species